GUAUGUUCCAUACCUGUAUGGAUGAUUUCUACCUAGGAAGCCAUAUCAGUGACUGAAGUGUCUGCAGCUAGAGGAAACAUGGAUGCUUCUGUGGUUACAAAAAAAAAGUCAUCUUUCAUGAUGACUUUCAGCCAGGAAAGUUACUUCAUUUUUAAGGUAAAAUCAUUCUGCUGCGACAUGUGGUUGGCAGUGCUCACACUACAGUCAUUAUUUCAACUAUGUGGUGUAAGUAGUAUCAAUAGCCUUAUGAGUUUCCCAGCUCUUAUCUUGAUAUUAUAAAAAAUAGGUCUACUCUUUUGAACAUAUUGAGUAGGAUUGAUAGGUAGAGUCUUCAUCUCUUUUCAAAUGUUGGAUUAUUUGUUACUCAUGUGUUAGUGGGGAGCAUGAACAAAUAAUGCAGAUGAAUUUGAGAAAUCAGUGAUGGUUCUUCUUGAUGUGGGGAAUAAGAAAAAUUGUUGGUAGACAUUUCUGUUUGCAAAACCACUCCCUGUAUAUCUGUACAGGAACGUAAGCC
rnacentral:lncRNA from 1 species